GGUCAAAGCUUAAUUGCAAUUUUCCCUAAAUCCCCCAAUCAAGUUAAAACCCUACCACAAUACUGAGUAAUCCUAUAUUUAUAUAGAAAUUCUAAUGUUAAAACUAGUAACAAGAAAUAAACUUCUCUUAAAUGUAAACACAAACCAGAACGGACCAACCACUGGCCCCUAACAACCUUAAUACUAAAGUAGUACCACCUCAAGAAAACCCUACUCAAACGAUUGUUAACCUAACACAAGAACAUUUUAAGAAAGACUAAAAGAAAAAGAAGGAACUCGGCAAAAAUUGACUCCGCCUGUUUACCAAAAACAUCGCCUCCUGUGUAUCUAUAAGAGGUCCAGCCUGCCCAGUGACCCAAUUUAACGGCCGCGGUAUCCUAACCGUGCGAAGGUAGCGUAAUCACCUGUUUUCUAAUUAAAGACCUGUAUGAAAGGCACCACGAGAGUCACACUGUUUCCUUUUUCCAGUCAGUGAAACUAAUCUCCCCGUGAAAAAGCGGGAAUUCACAUGCAAGACGAGAAGACCCUUUGGAGCUUAAGACAUAAUAAUACCUGCUACCUUCUUUUUCCCCCCCCCACCUAACAGCACCUUACUUAUGAGUCUUCGGUUGGGGCAACCAUGGAGUAAAAAUGAACCUCCAAGAUGAACGGAACCCUCCUAAACAAAAAGCCACAACUUUAUGUAUCAACAAACUGACAUCAUUAGACCCAAUAUCUUGAUUAACGAACCAAGUUACCCAAGGGAUAACAGCGCAAUCCACUUCAAGAGUCCAUAUCGACAAGUGGGCUUACGACCUCG
rnacentral:rRNA from 1 species